rnacentral:rRNA from 1 species
GACGAACGCUGGCGGCGCGCUUAAUACAUGCAAGUCGAGCGAGAACCAGGGCUUCGGCUCUGGGGACAGCGGCGAACGGGUGAGUAACACGUGGGUAAUCAACCCCCGACACCGGGAUAGCCCAGGGAAACUUGGAUUAAUACCGGAUGCCCCGUCUGGCCUUCGGGCCGGCCGGAAAAGGGUAGCUUCGGCCUCUGGUCGGGGACGAGCCCGCGGCGGAUUAGCUUGUUGGUGAGGUAAAGGCUCACCAAGGCGACGAUCCGUAGCUGGUCUGAGAGGACGAUCAGCAAGACUGGGACUGAGACACGGCCCAGACUCCUACGGGAGGCAGCAGUAGGGAAUCUUGCGCAAUGGGCGAAAGCCUGACGCAGCGACGCCGCGUGAGGGAAGAAGGCCUUCGGGUUGUAAACCUCUUUCAGGAGGGACGAAGCCACUCGGGUUAAUAGCCUAGAGGGUGACGGUACCUCCAGAAGAAGCCCCGGCUAACUACGUGCCAGCCGCCGCCGUAA